rnacentral:rRNA from 1 species
CGCACGGGUGAGUAACACGUAUCCAACCUGCCGUCUACUCUUGGACAGCCUUCUGAAAGGAAGAUUAAUACAAGAUGGCAUCAUGAGUCCGCAUGUUCACAUGAUUAAAGGUAUUCCGGUAGACGAUGGGGAUGCGUUCCAUUAGGUAGUAGGCGGGGUAACGGCCCACCUAGUCUUCGAUGGAUAGGGGUUCUGAGAGGAAGGUCCCCCACAUUGGAACUGAGACACGGUCCAA